UACGUAGGGUGCAAGCGUUGUCCGGAAUUAUUGGGCGUAAAGAGCUCGUAGGCGGCCUGUUGCGUCCGCUGUGAAAUCCCGGGGCUCAACCCCCGGGCCUGCAUUCGAUACGGGCAGACUAGAGUUCGGUAGGGGAGUCUGGAAUUCCUGGUGUAGCGGUGAAAUGACGCAGAUAUCAGGAGGAACACCGGUGGCGAAGGCGGGACUCUGGGCCGAUACUGACGCUGAGGAGCGAAAGCGUGGGGAGCAAACAGG
rnacentral:rRNA from 1 species